UCCUUGACACAUAGGACUCAGGUGAACCUC
rnacentral:piRNA from 1 species